CAGCUGUAAACGAUGCGCGUUAGGUGUAUCGGUGACCACGAGUCACCGAGGUGCCGAAGAGAAAUCGUGAAACGUGCCGCCUGGGAAGUACGGUCGCAAGGCUGAAACUUAAAGGAAUUGGCGGGGAGGCACCACAACAGGUGGAGCCUGCGGUUUAAUUCGGACUCGACGCCGGGAAGCUCACCGGAUAAGACAGCUGAAUGAUAGCCGGGUUGAAGACUCUGCUUGACUAGCUGAGAGGUGGUGCAUGGC
rnacentral:rRNA from 1 species